rnacentral:lncRNA from 1 species
GCACUCCCUCCAAGACAGACUUCUCUGUGGGAGCAGCAUAUUGGAGGCCUGCCAGGACGGUUCACAGGAAUGGCUGUGGAGGGCUGCAGGCAUGUCUCUAAUCAGAACCUGCCUGUUUUUUUGAUUGACAGCUGCACUUUCUCCACCAAGAAGUGGGUACUGUGCAAGUUAUGGUCAUAGUGAAGGUGGGGACGUGGAGAUGAUCCCAAAUGAGCUACGUAGGCCUUAUCGAAUCAGUGGAAAGCCUUGAGAACAGAGCCAAAGUUUCUCUGAGGAAGAGGAAAUUCUACCUGUAGACAGCAGCUUCAGUUCCUGCUGCAGUUUCCAGCCUGCCAUUCCUGAGGGCCUUCCCUGUGGAUUCCAGAUUUGCCAGCCAGUCCUCACAGCCACAUAAGCCAAUUGCUUGUAAUAAGUCCUAGUGUUAAUGAUCCUUAAUAAUAUACAUAUAAAUAAUAUAUCCUAGUAUUAAUAAAUCAAUCUCCCUCUCUCCAUGUCUCUCUCUCUCUCUCACACACACACACAAACACACACACACACAGACACACACACACGUCUUACUAGUUCUACUUCUCUGGUGAACCUUGACUGAUAUAGAUGAGUAAUCA